rnacentral:rRNA from 1 species
UAUUGGUCAAUGGUCGGGAGACUGAACCAGCCAAGCCGCGUGAGGGAGGAAGGUACAGAGUAUCGCAAACCUCUUUUGUCAGGGAACAAAGGCGGGGACGUGUCCCCGGAUGAGUGUACCUGAAGAAAAAGCAUCGGCUAACUCCGUGCCAGCAGCCGCGGUAAUACGGAGGAUGCGAGCGUUAUCCGAAUUUAUUGGGUUUAAAGGGUGCGCGUGGGUUCAGUUAAGUCAGCGGUCAAAGCCCGGGGCUCAACCCCGGCCAGCCGUUGAAACUGGCAGUCUCGAGUUGGAGAGAAGUAUGCGGAAUGCGCGGUGUAGCGGUGAAAUGCAUAGAUAUCGCGCAGAACUCCGAUUGCGAAGGCAGCAUGCCGGCUCCACACUGACGCUGAGGCACGAAAGCGUGGGUAUCGA